AGGUCUCUGGCGGCCUGCCGCCUAGUGUCCUCGGCUUGAGUUGGAUGGCACGUUUCUGGGAGUGGUUCUGGGUGUGUGGCGGCGUUCUCAGGUGUGGGCGUUCUUGGACAGUGCAUUUGGUCCCAGCUGUGACGCUUCAUCUGCAGGGGUUGGAGGUUGCAAAUCAUCUGAGGGAGCGUGUGGUUUGUGGGUUGGUGGCUUUCUAUUCACAUUCUGUUUUGGGCAUAACCAUUGCAGUUUUUUCGUGUAUUUACGAAGAAUAACAUGGUAAUUCUUUUGUAAAAACUGUUUUGUAUAAACUGAGCAUGUUGAGGAAACAGAGUCGGCAGUUCUUCAACUGUUAAUUCCGGAAAUCCUAAACCUCUAAACCGAUUCUUUAUCCUGAAAAAAUCUCUUCUUGCAUCUGUGAUGGCCGCCGCUAAGCAUCUUUUCUUAGUAAUCAACAAUAAGUUCUUCGAUUUUACAGGUAGUGUCAAAUUGAAAAUAGAUGUCGGUAAUACGUUGUUAACCUAUUUCUUUACUACUGCUCUUUUCGGUAAUUAUCUAUAGCAUAUACUUGUAGCUUGGCACAGUUGAGCAGAC
rnacentral:lncRNA from 1 species